UGUGGGGGGGCUUUGGGACACAUGGGGCGGCUGUGGGGGACAUGCGGUGACCGUUGGGACACGGGGGGGCCCUGAGGCGCGGGGCUGAGGCGCGCGGGGCGGGGCGGGGCGGGGCCGCUGCGACCGUUAGGACCGUUGGGGCGCGCGGGCUCUCGCCCUGAGGGGACGCGCGGUGGGGGGCAGCGGGCGGCGCUCACCUCUUCUGCGCCUUCUCCGCCAUGGCGGCACCGCCUGCGCAGGCGCUGGGCUGGGGCUGGGCGGGCCCCGCUCGGCUCCUCCCGGCGGCCGGGGCCCUGAGACGGCGCAAGCUCUAAAGAGCUUGAGUCAGAAACAAGCUGGAGAGAGCCAGGAGACAUCAAGGGCUGGAAGGAUCCAGGAGACAUCGAGGGCUGGGAACUGGAGCAAGCUGGAGACAGCCAGGAGGCAACCAGGGCUGGAGCCCUCCGUGAACUGUAAAUAUCUUCGCUGUAUUUCCCACUAUUUCCUUCUGAGACUGAAGAACACAGAAAACUGGGAUCGCACCUCGGCACGUGCUGUACAGUCUGCACAACAGGGAGCUCCUUACAGUUUCUCUCCUACGAAGAGUGUCCUCAUUCAGUCCUUCAGCUGUACCUCCGUGAGUUUGUUUGAUUUCAAAUUCACCUUUCCUGGAAGUGUGGGUUGUCUCGGGGUGUUUUAGGUUGGAUAUUAGGAAGAACUUCUUUACUGAGAGGGUUGUGAGGCAUUGGAAUGG